GCCUUUGUUUCCCAGGUGGGGGGCCCAGCAGGUGACUGCUGUGCAGCAAUAUGAGCUUGUACCCCAGGGACAUGCUGCUCCUCUGGGGCUCAGGAGGACAGGGACCCCUAUGUCCUGGGUGCAGGAGCUCCAGGCUGGAGGCUGUGGGGCAAGGAGGGGGGAUUCAGCUGCUCCUUUGUGUCAUUCUGAGGUGCUUUAGCUGGCCUGGGGUCUGGGGGAGGGUUCAGGUAUGUAAAUUAAAGAAGCCCAGAGCCUCCCCUGUGUGACACCAGGGCCUCAUACUGAAAGCUCUUGUAAAAGCCACAAGCACCCUCGGCUUCACCCCCAGCAACAGGGGGAGGAGGAGAGGCCCCAGGGCUGGAGGGCUGGAGCGGGAGUGGAGGUUCCAGCAGACUCGAGGCAGGGCAGGUUCCAGCAUGCACAGACGUCCCCCAGCAGUGCCCUUAGACAGUCCCCUUAGCAGGACGCCACAAGCUGGAGGAAGAAGGGCCCCAGAGCAGGAUACCAUGAGGCUUCUUGGGAGGUUUGGGAACGAGUUCUGAAUUAACUACAAUUCCACUUGAAUGGCGAGCACUUGCUAUUUAUUUUAUCCUCGAGCUGCUCGGCCAUGAGCACGUGGCUCCUCCUGCAGGACGCAGGGUGGCAGCGGGGACUGUGGGUGGAAGGGGCAGCAAGAAUGUUAAUUUUAGCUCCCGUUAUUGGAGGGGACACUGUAACUGGAACACUGGGUAGUUGUCGGCUACUUCAAUGAAGAAUGGCCGGGUGGCCUUCAGCUCUUCCCGUCCAUGGUGACUCACUGCUGUGACACAAGAGCCGCUAAAACCUGGUCUGUUUAACCUCCCUGAUGACCUGACCUCAGUCCGUCACAGGGCGGUGCUUUAAUGCCAUCUCUACUGCCACCUAUUUUAGAGAGGAGGAGGAAUGAGGGGGAGGGCAAAGGUGAAGAGGAGCUGCCAGAUGACUUCUCUGUUUCCAUGACCAUGCUAGGACACCAUGCCCAGUGGCCUCUGUCCACUUCUCAUUCCUGGGGACUGCAGGACAUGUCUGUUCUUAACUGCAAGGAAGACUGGGAGGGGUCUAUGUCACUAGCUUGAGAAGAACUCAGGUGUUGUCAUUGGGAAGAAGGGAAGAGCUGCUAUAGGGACAGUGACCGGUUGCAUCUGCCAGUAUCCCCAUCACAUAGAUGAGGGGACUG
rnacentral:lncRNA from 1 species